GAAGAGCUGGGCGGCGAGGGAGCCUGCCUCCGAAGACCCCAGACUGCUGCUGCGGCCCGCGCCAUGUGUGCGCACAACCCGGGCACGGAGUUCGACCUUAGCUGGAUCUCCAAUAUACAAGUGAAUCAGCCAGCAGUUCUAAGGCGUGCAGAACAAAUCCAGGCUCGCAGGACCGUAAAAAAGGAGUGGCAAGCUGCUUGGCUCCUGAAAGCUGUUACCUUUAUAGAUCUUACUACACUUUCUGGCGAUGACACAUCUUCCAACAUUCAAAGGCUCUGUUAUAAAGCCAAGUAUCCAAUCCGGGAAGACCUCUUAAAAGCUUUAAAUAUGCACGACAAAGGCAUCACUACAGCCGCUGUCUGUGUUUAUCCUGCCCGAGUGUGUGAUGCUGUAAAAGCACUAAAGGCCGCAGGCUGUAAUAUCCCGGUGGCAUCAGUGGCCACUGGCUUUCCAGCUGGACAGACUCAUUUAAAAACACGAUUAGAAGAGAUCAGAUUGGCUGUUGAAGACGGAGCUACGGAAAUCGAUGUGGUAAUUAACAGGACCUUGGUGCUGACAGGCCAGUGGGAAGCCCUUUAUGAUGAGAUUCGUCAGUUUCGCAAGGCCUGUGGAGAGGCUCAUCUCAAAACCAUCUUGGCAACAGGAGAACUUGGAUGUCUCACUGACGUCUACAAAGCCAGCAUGAUAGCGAUGAUGGCAGGAUCAGAUUUUAUUAAGACCUCUACUGGGAAAGAAGCAGUAAAUGCCACCUUCCCAGUAGCUAUAGUAAUGCUGCGGGCCAUUAGAGAUUUCUUCUGGGAAACUGGAAACAAGGUAGGGUUUAAACCAGCAGGAGGCAUCCGCACUGCCAAGGAUUCCCUUGCUUGGCUCUCUCUUAUAAAGGAAGAGCUGGGAAAUGAGUGGCUGAAACCAGAACUCUUUCGAAUAGGUGCCAGCUCUCUACUUUCAGACAUUGAGAGGCAGAUUUACCAUCAAGUGACCGGAAGAUAUGCAGCUUACCAUGAUCUUCCAAUGUCUUAAAUCAGCAACCAAUUAUGGAAAAGUUCUUCACAACAAUGUUUAAAAAUUAUUUUUCUGCAUAAUUGCUAAAAUUAUUUCAUUAGAAAAAUCAGGGAAUAGGUGGUCGUUUUAGUUGAUCAAGUGAACAGGCAUCAUUAUCUUCAAUUUUAAUUUAUAUGAGGCAUCCGCUGAAAUUGACCUCUGCGGACAAUUAUAGAUUCACAUAGGAAAUUAAGACUGGUGAGUCCCUCAAACCUAUUAGAGGCUGAUGAGCAUCGCCUCAUCUACAGGUAAGUAAUGUUAUAUUUUGGGGGACAAUUUAUUCCAAGGACUAUUGGGCUCUUCAUCAGGGAUGUCUGCCCCUUCUUACCCGGCUCUUGAAAUCAACUAAUAUAGAUGACUUUAAUUUGAAGCUCCUGGUAAAUUUUGAUUGCUAUGAAAGCGUAAGAGGAAGAGGUCAUUUCUGAGGUGACCAUCAUUUACUACAAGCAGAUUUGUGUGCUUCAGAACACUGGGAGCAGAUGCUUUAUACAAUCAGAAAAUGAGUUGCUGUGUUCUGUGUUUGAAGCUUCUAAGUUAAUAAAAACAACCACCCACAAAUUGUUGGAAUUGUUCAAUAAAGCAUAUUAGGCCUUAAUGUUAUUUUUUAAAUAGUCACAUAACUUAGGGGCUUAAAUGAGACCUUAGGGAAUAUCUAGCUCAACCCCAAUCAUUUUUCACAUAAAAAAAAAAUUCAGGGUGCAAGGUCACAUAGAAAAUCAGAGCUGAGACCAGGACCCUGAUUGUCCCUGCAGCAUGGAAUAUUUUGUAAGAGACAGCCAGGCCUAUGAAAUUAAAAUUUUCUUGCUUUUUAUACACCCUGCGAUACCUAAUAUGUUUGUCAGCGUGUAAACUUCAGACUGUUAAUAGACUCACUUGUACCAGUAGAAGUCUUCUGAAUGGUGUUUUAGAGAAGACCAACCAUCAAAAUCUAGCCCAAAUGAGACAUAGUGCCGUUCAUUUCUUUACUUUUUUUUUUUUAAUUGUACUUCAGGUGAAGGUUUAUAGAACAAAUAGUUUCUCAUUAAACAGUAGUACACAUAUCGUUUUAUGACAUUGGUUAACAACCCAACGACGUGUCAAUCCUCUCCCUUCUCCACCUUUUUUUUUUUUGGUGAAAAUAUACAUAGCCAAAGAUACACCAUUUCAAAAAUUUCUACAUAGUGCAGUUAAUUUCAUCUCUUAGAAUUUCUUGGCAGUUUCUUAGAGAGCCCAAGGACAGAACAGAUAAAAUACACUUCUACUCCAUCCUACUUAGUUCUGCCAAAAUAUGUUAAAGAAAACUAUACCCCAGCUAAGAACUAGUAUUUUUCAUUUGUACAGAUCCUUUCUUCUGAUGCUACAGUUCUAAACUAAGCCCCAAAAUCUGAAUUUCUGAAUUUUGGGCCAUCUCUAAAAUUAAAGAAAAAUUAAAUAAACUAAAAGAAUAAAUUAUUUUUAAUUGAAUGUUGCUUUACUUAUAUAAACUAUCAGCCAGGGGGCUUGCUUGGAUUCUAGUUUGUCUACAAAUCACGAAAUAGUUUCAUGACUACAAUAUCUUUACCUCAUUCUGGAUUAUUUCAACACUAGCAGGAAAUUAAGACAAAUCAGUUCACAUAGAAACUAGCUUCUGAGGAGGCUUGUGCCAAAGUGGGAACUGUUACAGAUAUCUGGAAGUACAUCUUCACAGCAGCGUGAUACAAUCUCUGUCCUGAUAAGCAGAACAGUUUGCUCUGUCAUACAUACAUGUCAUACAGAAACCAAAUCUGCAGAAACCCAAUCAGUGUCUUUGGAGAAAUCAAUUUACUAGUACAGAGGAAAGCCAACAUUAAUUUUUCUUCAUCAACCUGACAGUUUUUUUUUUUUGUUUUUUUUUUGAUGCGACAGUAGGGCCGGAAUGCAGAGAUAUAAAGGAGAAGAAAGAAUUUGAAUAGAUCUUACCUUUAAAGGAAAUGAAAUAUUAUGCCAGUUUUGGCCCUUGGAAAAAGGUGUGAGGUGAAGUCAAUUUCUACAUUUGUUUUCCCGUUCUUGCUCAAGAGUCUUGCCUCCCAAAGGAAGAUAUGUAUUUUACAACCAUCACCAAAUGAUCCUUUUCAGAAAUGACCACAGGUAACAUCUGGCUGGUAUAUAAAAUAUGUAGUAAAAAUAAUCAUUUUUAAUUAACUAAAACCUGCUCAGGAGAGAGAGUCAGAGGAAUAUCCAUCUGGUCAAUUCCUAUUUAAUAGGGCAAAUGAGGAUCAGAAUGUUUAAUGCAAUAUACGUGAAAUACUUAGUGACCUUACAGUGAACUAAAACUUUAUUA